GACGAACGCUGGCGGCGUGCCUAACACAUGCAAGUCGAGCGGUAAGGCCCCUUCGGGGGUACACGAGCGGCGAACGGGUGAGUAACACGUGAGCAGCCUACCCUCAACACUGGGAUAAGCCCGGGAAACCGGGUCUAAUACCGGAUAAUCUCUUAAUCGACAUCGAUUGAGAAUGAAAGUUCCGGCGGUUGAGGAUGGGCUCGCGGCCUAUCAGCUAGUUGGUGGGGUAAUGGCCUACCAAGGCUCGACGGGUAGCCGGCCUGAGAGGGCGACCGGCCACACUGGGACUGAGACACGGCCCAGACUCCUACGGGAGGCAGCAGUGGGGAAUAUUGCGCAAUGGGCGAAAGCCUGACGCAGCAACGCCGCGUGAGGGAUGACGGCC
rnacentral:rRNA from 1 species